UCCUACGGGGGGCAGCAGUGAGGAAUAUUGGUCAAUGGGCUUACGCCUGAACCAGCCAAGUCGCGUGAGGGAAGACUGCCCUAUGGGUUGUAAACCUCUUUUGUCAGGGAGCAACGCCGGCUACGUGUAGCCGGACUGAGAGUACCUGAAGAAAAAGCAUCGGCUAACUCCGUGCCAGCAGCCGCGGUAAUACGGAGGAUGCGAGCGUUAUCCGGAUUUAUUGGGUUUAAAGGGUGCGCAGGCGGGAGAUCAAGUCAGCGGUAAAAUGUCGGGGCUCAACCCCCGCCGGCCGUUGACACUGGUUU
rnacentral:rRNA from 1 species